rnacentral:tRNA from 3 species
GGGCCCUUAGCUCAGUUGGUUAGAGCACUCGGCUCAUAACCGAUCGGUCACAGGUUCGAGUCCUGUAGGGCCCA